GAUGAACGCUGGUGGCGUGCCUAAUACAUGCAAGUCGAGCGAACGGACGAGAAGCUUGCUUCUCUGAUGUUAGCGGCGGACGGGUGAGUAACACGUGGAUAACCUACCUAUAAGACUGGGAUAACUUCGGGAAACCGGAACUAAUACCGGAUAAUAUUUUGAACCGCAUGGUUCAAAAGUGAAAGACGGUCUUGCUGUCACUUAUAGAUGGAUCCGCGCUGCAUUAGCUAGUUGGUAAGGUAACGGCUUACCAAGGCAACGAUGCAUAGCCGACCUGAGAGGGUGAUCGGCCACACUGGAACUGAGACACGGUCCAGACUCCUACGGGAGGCAGCAGUAGGGAAUCUUCCGCAAUGGGCGAAAGCCUGACGGAGCAACGCCGCGUGAGUGAUGAAGGUCUUCGGAUCGUAAAACUCUGUUAUUAGGGAAGAACAUAUGUGUAAGUAACUGUGCACAUCUUGACGGUACCUAAUCAGAAAGCCACGGCUAACUACGUGCCAGCAGCCGCGGUAAUACGUAGGUGGCAAGCGUUAUCCGGAAUUAUUGGGCGUAAAGCGCGCGUAGGCGGUUUUUUAAGUCUGAUGUGAAAGCCCACGGCUCAACCGUGGAGGGUCAUUGGAAACUGGAAAACUUGAGUGCAGAAGAGGAAAGUGGAAUUCCAUGUGUAGCGGUGAAAUGCGCAGAGAUAUGGAGGAACACCAGUGGCGAAGGCGACUUUCUGGUCUGUAACUGACGCUGAUGUGCGAAAGCGUGGGGAUCAAACAGGAUUAGAUACCCUGGUAGUCCACGCCGUAAACGAUGAGUGCUAAGUGUUAGGGGGUUUCCGCCCCUUAGUGCUGCAGCUAACGCAUUAAGCACUCCGCCUGGGGAGUACGACCGCAAGGUUGAAACUCAAAGGAAUUGACGGGGACCCGCACAAGCGGUGGAGCAUGUGGUUUAAUUCGAAGCAACGCGAAGAACCUUACCAAAUCUUGACAUCCUUUGACAACUCUAGAGAUAGAGCUUUCCCCUUCGGGGGACAAAGUGACAGGUGGUGCAUGGUUGUCGUCAGCUCGUGUCGUGAGAUGUUGGGUUAAGUCCCGCAACGAGCGCAACCCUUAAGCUUAGUUGCCAUCAUUAAGUUGGGCACUCUAAGUUGACUGCCGGUGACAAACCGGAGGAAGGUGGGGAUGACGUCAAAUCAUCAUGCCCCUUAUGAUUUGGGCUACACACGUGCUACAAUGGACAAUACAAAGGGCAGCGAAACCGCGAGGUCAAGCAAAUCCCAUAAAGUUGUUCUCAGUUCGGAUUGUAGUCUGCAACUCGACUACAUGAAGCUGGAAUCGCUAGUAAUCGUAGAUCAGCAUGCUACGGUGAAUACGUUCCCGGGUCU
rnacentral:rRNA from 1 species